AAAGCUCGAGUGAGGAUGUGUAGUUAAGGUGUAGAGAGUCUUAGCAUAUAUUAUCUUAUUACGCUAAUGAUGGAUUAUAUUCCGCUGCUUAUCUUAUUUAUGUUUAUGUUCUUGUUGAGUCACUCGGGUUUCGACGGGGGAAGUCUCGAGUGAUGAUUAUUGUUGUUGUGUUAUUGUUAGGUGAACUCCUCGUCUUAGAUUGUUUGUGGUUGGGAUGGCGAGGGGUUGUAUUUGUUAGUUGGGGCCCUGGCUCACUGAGUGACAUU
rnacentral:lncRNA from 1 species